AAGAAAAAAAAAACCUCUGAUAUUUAAAUUAAUUAAUGUAAGUAGAGAUGAGUGUGUGGAGCAAAAGAGUAACGCGAGAGGCUAGAAAAAUAUGUGUGGAGGAGAGCAACAGGUGAAAAGCAAUGAUUAUGGUACUUGUAUAUUUUGCUUUCAGCAGAAUUCUACAAGGAAUUUGUAAGGUAUUGUGCUUUGGAGAGAAAUCAGUCUGUCAUUCGAUUAAAGAAAGUGGCUUUAAAUAGCCUUUACAAAGCAACAGAAAUGGAAUAUUUUGGGCAAUUAACACCCUGACAACUAGGAAUUUAUUGCAACUAACACCCUAACAAUUAGGGAUCUUAUUUUAACAAGUCAAUUCAACUGAAACUAAAAAUAACUUAUCAUUCCCUCUCUUAAACUAAAUGCUUUUAAGUAUUUAGUUUAUCUGAAACCUCACAUACUCCCAGCAUCUGUCGCAAUUUCUGAAACUGAUCUAACUUCAGUGGUUUAGUCAUCACAUCAGCUACUUGUUCCUUUGUGCCACAGAAUUCCAGCUUAAUAACAUCAUCUUUAACCAAGUCCCGUAGAAAGUGGAACCUCACAUCUAUGUGCUUGCUUCUACCAUGCAUGACCGGAUUUUUUGAAAUUUUAAUGGCAGAGCUGCUGUCACUCAUGAUUACAGUGCUUCCUUCCUGCUGAUAGCCAAUUUUCUCUAGUAUCCUUCUCAUCCAUAUAGUCUGACAUGCACAAUUUGCAGCUGCCACAAACUCAGCCUCAGUGGUUGAUAACGUGACCAAUGGUUGCUUCCUUGAUGACCAUGCAACAGCUCCUGAGUUCAUCAAAAACACAUAUCCAGAGGUGCUUUUUCGAUCCUCAAUAUCUCCUGCAUAAUCACUAUCAGUGAAUGCAAGGAGUUCUUCAGCUUCUCCCUUCUUGUAGAAUAUCCCAUAAUUCACUGUCCCUUUUAGAUAUCUCAGUGUUCUCUUUGCUGCUUGCAGGUGUAGUUCAGUAGGCUUAGACAUGUAACGACUAAUUAAGCUUACACUGAACAUAAUAUCAGGUCUGGUUGUGGUGAGGUACAUAAGGCUGCCAACUAUCUGCUUGAAAUAAGUUUCAUUGAUUCUGACUCCUCCUUCAUCACUAUGCAAUUUUGAACCUGGUACAAUUGGACUACCCACAGCAUUGCUAUUUUCCAUGCUGAACCGUUUUAGAACAUCCAUUGCAUAUUUCUUUUGGUAAAUAUAUAUGCCAUCAACAGUUUGCAAGACUUCUAUACCAAGAAAAAAUCUCAUACCUCCCAAAUCAGACAUAUCAAAUUCCCUUAACAUGGACUCUUUAAAUCUACUCAUCAUAAUAUCAUCAUCACCAGUAUAUAUCAAGUCAUCCACAUAAAUACGUACAAUGAGAAUCGUACCUUUACUGCUGGUUUUAACAAACAAUGUUUGUUCACUGUGACAUCUCUGAAAUCCUUCACUUACAAAGUGUGCUUCAAUUCUACUAAACCAAGCUCUUGGAGCUUGUUUUAGUCCAUAUAAGGCCUUCUGCAAUUUAUACACUUUGUGCUCAUUCCCUUUCUGCUCAUACCCCUUUAGCUGCUCUACAUAGACAUCCUCACUUAAUGUUCCAUGAAGAAAGGCAGAUUUUACGUCUAGUUGGAAAAUCUUCCAUCCUCGCUGGGCUGCCAAAGCAAUGAUCAUGCGAACUGUGUCCAUUCUAGCUACGGGAGCAAAAACCUCAGUAUAAUCCACUCCUUGUUGCUGGGAAUAGCCCUUAGCUACCAGCCUUGCUUUGUAUUUGUCUACCCCUCCAAAUUCAUUGAAUUUGGUCUUAUAGAUCCAUUUAACCCCAAUCAUCUUGGCACCUGCGGGCAGCUCAGUUAGCUUCCAUGUUUCAUUCCUCUCGAUUGACUCCAUCUCAGCAUCCAUUGCCAGCCGCCAUUUAGGACUUAGUUGAGCUUCUUCAAAACUGGUUGGAUCUGCAUGUUGCUACCCAAUUUUUGACCCAUGUUUUGAUAAAUUUUCAGAAAAAUUCAAAAAUAGCGAAAAACAUUGAAAAUCCAAAAAAUACUUUUUUAAUACAUUUGCAUCGUUUUUAGCAUUUUUAGCAUCGUCUCAAAAGAAUUUAAAUUUUCAAAGACAUUUGGAACGCGUUCAACUUUUAACGCGUUACUUUUAAAAUCAUUGAUUUUCUUCAUUGAGUCGACGUUGAUAUUGCUCGUUUUCAAAAAAUACAAAAAAAUUAAGAAAAAUCAAAUUUACAAAAAAGAAAGAAAGUUGAGGGACCAAUUUUGAGAUCCAUGCAACAUUUUACCUAUAAAUACUGGUCCACAACUCAAACAAAGGGGGGGACAAUUUUGGACAACAUCAAAAAAAUACCUAACCCUAAACCCAUCUUUUUCUCUAAGGUGCCCCCCCUUCCCGUUGGAAAAAACCAGAGAGAGCAGGGGCGGCCGCAAGCCUCCCUUUCCCUGUUUACAGAGGCUGGCCGCCCCUCCCCUUUGAUUAUCUUUUUCCCCUCAUCGUCUCCAACAGACCCAGCAGCCCCUCUCAUCGCCAUUUCCCCUGCCAUUUCAGCCUUCGACCUCUGCCUCUCCACCCUCACAGCAGACCACCAUACAGCCGCUGACCCUCCUUCCCCACAAACUAGAAACCAGCCUUCUCCAUCCUCACCGAUCUGUCAUCCUCCAGCUCACAGAACAAGAGCCCCCAUUUCCAUCCUCUCCGAAAACCAGAUCAUCCUCUUCCUCCCAUUCUCCCUUGGCCCCCAGCCCCCCGGUUGGAAACUUUCUUCCCCACAGCUGCCCAACACCUCCUUUCUUCCACAGCCAUCCCCACCUUCACCAGCCACACACCAGGUCUUCCCUCUCUCAGCCGACUUCCUCUCCUCCCCCACGACCGAACACGGCCGCAGCCAACACACGGCCGCCCACAGAGUCAUCAGCGCCGGCCUCCACCAAGCCACACAGCAGCAGCCGAUCCCCUCCACCACCAGCUUGGGAGACGCCAUCCUCACCUUCCCAGCAGGAGUCCCCUUCACAGCCUCCUCCCACCGAAGAACCCAGCGGCGGCCGACAGCAGCAGCGCCCACAGACGCCGCCCCCUUCCUCAUCCAUCGGCUCUCCUUUGCACAGACCGGCAUCCAGCAGCAGUCCCCGCUGUCUUCUUCAUCUCCUCCCACCAGUCUUGCAGCGGCGGCUCCUUCCCAUCACAGAUCAACGUCAGCCACGGCAGCACCGCCCGAUCUGCCACCCGAAGCAGAGGAGAAGAAGAAGAAACACAUGACAUACCGAUCUGUAGGAGAAGCAGAUUUGACAAAAAGAAGAAAAAAACCGAAACAGAUUUGAAAAAAACGAAAUCUAAAAUCUAAAAUCGGCUGUUUGUGCGUUUUUGUUGUUGUUGCAGAUGAUGUAGCUCCUCACCGUUUGCAGGGAGGGGAAAAGGAGAAGAAACAGAGUCGGGCCAACCCAUUUUCCGGUGAUUCUCUCACGGCGCGUGAGCCCACGCGCCACCAGAUGCGGUGGCGCGUGGGAAGAUGCGCCACACUGUUCCCGGCGUCCAUGGCUUCACAGACACGUUCCCAGCACAUUCUAGGAUUUUUUAGAGUUUGUUUUUUUGUAAUUUCCAAAGUGUAAUGUACUUUUUGUUUAGUGGUUUUUGAAUUUGUAUUAUUGGUAGUGUUGAUGUAACAAAAAGAACAAAAAAAAGAAAAGAAAAGAAAAGAAAAGAGAAUAAUAAUAGUGAAAGUGUAUGGGUGUGUUUGUAUAUGUUUUUAUGGAUGUUUUAUUUUUAUUUAAGAUAAAAUUGCAAAGAUUAAAGAAGAAUUUAAUAUUUUGAUUGGAUCACGGUGAAGAAUUAUUAACUUACAUGUAAGUUGUAUUUCUAAUAUCCGAUGAAAAGACAAUUAUUAAAACUUCUUUAAUACAUCAAAGUCACGAAGCAGCUUACCUCAGGUAGGGUGCGUUAGGGGUGCUAAUACCUUCCCUAACCACAACCAGUCCCUUACCCGCGAAUCUCUGACAAGACCAGUACAUCCGGUUUCCUAGUAGCCUUCAAUAAAUUACUAGGUGGCGACUCCAAC
rnacentral:lncRNA from 1 species